GUGUCAGUAGUUUAUGGCUUUAAAAGCCAACUCAUAAUCCCAAGGUCGGCGGUUCGAGUCCGCUUGGGCCCACCA
rnacentral:tRNA from 1 species